GCGAGCGUGGCGGAAUUGGCAGACGCGCCAGGUUUAGGUCCUGGUUCCCAAUAGGGAGUGGAGGUUCGAAUCCUCUCGCUCGCA
rnacentral:tRNA from 1 species